rnacentral:rRNA from 1 species
CUACGGGUGGCUCCAGUGAGGAAUAUUGCACAAUGGGGGGAACCCUGAUGCAGCAACGCCGCGUGGAGGAUGACGCAUUUCGGUGUGUAAACUCCUUUUAUAUGUCAAGAAAAUGGCGGUAGCAUAUGAAUAAGCACCGGCUAACUCCGUGCCAGCAGCCGCGGUAAUACGGAGGGUGCAAGCGUUACUCGGAAUCACUGGGCGUAAAGGACGCGUAGGCGGGUUGGAAAGUCAGGUGUGAAAUCCUACAGCUUAACUGUAGAACUGCACUUGAAACUUCUAAUCUAGAGUAUGGGAGGGGGAGAUGGAAUUAGUGGUGUAGGGGUAAAAUCCGUAGAUAUCACUAGGAAUACCUAAAGCGAAGGCGAUCUCCUGGAACAUUACUGACGCUAAGGCGCGAAAGCGUGGGGAGCAAACAGGAUUAGAUACCCUCGUAGUC